UGCUAGUCGCACGAGUUCAGACUCGUGGCGAAUAGCUCAGUAACACGUGGCCAAACUACCCUUCGGAACACAAUACCCUCGGGAAACUGAGGCUAAUAGUGUAUACCAUACCACCACUGGAAUGAGUGGUAUGCCAAACGCUCCGGCGCCGAAGGAUGUGGCUGCGGCCGAUUAGGUAGACGGUGGGGUAACGGCCCACCGUGCCAAUAAUCGGUAUGGGUCAUGAGAGUGAGAACCCGGAGACGGAAUCUGAGACAAGAUUCCGGGCCCUACGGGGCGCAGCAGGCGCGAAACCUUUACACUGCACGACAGUGCGAUAGGGGGAUCCCAAGUGCACAGGCAUAGCGCCUGUGCUUUUCGGUACCCUAAGGCGGUACCAGAAUAAGGGCUGGGCAAGACCGGUGCCAGCCGCCGCGGUAAUACCGGCAGCCCAAGUGAUGGCCGAUCUUAUUGGGCCUAAAGCGUCCGUAGCUGGCCGCACAAGUCCAUCGGGAAAUCCACCCGCUCAACGGGUGGGCGCCCGGUAGAAACUGUGUGGCUUGGGACCGGAAGGCGCGACGGGUACGUCCGGGGUAGGAGUGAAAUCCCGUAAUCCUGGACGGACCGCCGAUGGCGAAAGCACGUCGCGAGGACGGAUCCGACAGUGAGGGACGAAAGCCAGGGUCUCGAACCGGAUUAGAUACCCGGGGUAGUCCUGGCCGUAAACAAUGUCUGCUAGGUGUGGCUCCCACUACGAGUGGGGUGCUGUGC
rnacentral:rRNA from 1 species